rnacentral:lncRNA from 1 species
CUCCCCCGUGACGCUGCCGCUCCGCCCACCCGCUUCCGGAACUGGCCUAUAAAAGGGGGCGGGCGGCGCGGGCCGCUCUCUCUCGGCUGUUGUUGUCGCCGCCAUUUUGUCGGAGGCCGGAGGCUCCCGCCGCCAUCCGCCGCCAUCCGCGGGCACUGAGCCCGGGCCGCCAUGAGAGCGAAGUGGCGAAAGAAACGUAUGCGCAGGCUGAAGCGCAAAAGGAGAAAGAUGAGGCAGAGGUCU